rnacentral:rRNA from 2 species
UGAGGAAUAUUGGUCAAUGGACGAGAGUCUGAACCAGCCAAGUAGCGUGCAGGAUGACGGCCCUAUGGGUUGUAAACUGCUUUUAUAAGGGAAUAAAGUGAGUCUCGUGAGACUUUUUGCAUGUACCUUAUGAAUAAGGACCGGCUAAUUCCGUGCCAGCAGCCGCGGUAAUACGGAAGGUCCGGGCGUUAUCCGGAUUUAUUGGGUUUAAAGGGAGCGUAGGCCGGAGAUUAAGCGUGUUGUGAAAUGUAGACGCUCAACGUCUGCACUGCAGCGCGAACUGGUUUCCUUGAGUACGCACAAAGUGGGCGGAAUUCGUGGUGUAGCGGUGAAAUGCUUAGAUAUCACGAAGAACUCCGAUUGCGAAGGCAGCUCACUGGAGCGCAACUGACGCUGAAGCUCGAAAGUGCGGGUAUCGAACAGG